AUGUCCUGCUCGUGAUCGUCUUCUCACCCGACGCGUGCAGGCAGCACAAGGAAGGGCUCCUGCGAGACCGCUCGCAGGAGCCCUUC
rnacentral:ncRNA from 1 species